UCAACCCGCAGCCCCCAAACGUUCGUCCUGCCCGAACGCCCGCCCGAGACCGGAACCGGAAGCGCGGGUGGCGCCGUGGAUGGAGCGGGCGUUCUGCACGGUGUGUUCCGUCUUCUCGGUGCCGACCGAAUUCCCGUGGACGUUCGCCCUCAGAGGCAGGGCUCGACACGAAAAGCAUCCGUGGAGCUCAAGUUUGAGGUGAAACCAGGCUCAGGGUCCACCUGUCCUCGCUGAUCCAUGGAUUUCUGUGUGACCAGGUCCCAGGCUGGACAGAGAGUGACUCUACUGGGAGCUGAGCCAUGAGACUCAAUGCGUCACCCACAUGGGCUCCUUCACCCUUGACUGGGGCAGCCUCUACU